AGCCAGGUUUGUGCCACGCUGCAUUCCUUAUAUCUUCCCUGGUUUGCAGGUCUUUGUAAGCUGGGAAAACAAGCACAAAGUGACUCUUUUCCCUUCUGCACAGGCAGGGAUCCCUUAAAAGAACUCCAAGGAGGAAUCAGGAGGCUGGGAACAGCGGGAAGGAGGAAAAUCAGGAGUUCUCUGCCAGAAGGAAAAGCUGCCAGAGCAGCAGGAACAGGAGCUGGGGAAGAGAGGGAACACCUGGGCACAGAGGAGAAAGCUGAAAUACCAAAUUCUGCUAUGCAGGGGGAAGGUGGCAACACCCCCACGGAGAAUUCAGAUGACCAGGACAAGAUCUGAUGCAUUUAACUGCUCCUCUACAAUGUCUGACAAGCUCAAAUGGUUUUGCUUCUUUCUCUUCUUUCAAUUUGCUUUUGUUUUGAUAGCCUCAUAGUAGUCACAGUGAAGAAAAUUAACUGUGUCACAAGCUUCUCCUGAAAUACUAAAAUAUUAAAUGUGGUACUUAUACCACAUAUAUUUACUUCUAAGCUGGAAAUCUCAGCCUUUUCCUGCCUCAGAUGUCAACUUUUCACCCUUAAUUACUGCCUUGGGGAUCCAGAACACAGCUGGACCUCCAGCCCAAAGCUUUCUUCCAGGGGAAAAAAACAUGGAAAGAAAAUCAAUUUCCUUUGGGAAAAUAUCCCCCUGGACACACCUGUAUUACACAAAAGCAGUUUUUUUACAGCAAUCCACCUUUUAAUCUUGGUGUCAGAAAAGAACAUAAUGACCUGGUUCUGCCCAUGGCAGCAGGAUGGAGGAGAGGGAAAAUACUUCACAGCAGAGAAACAACAACCACAGCUGAGAUGACCUUCAGCAUGAAGAAAUAACAUAUAAAUCUCUGUGUAUUUAUUGAAAAUGGUGUUCUCCUUGCCCUGGGCGCACACACAAACUUGUGGCUGUGCUGGAAGCCAAGCAGCUAUUCCUGAGGGCUGGCAUUUGAAGGGCAUUUCAUGAUAAGGCUGCUGCUGGAGCAGAGCUUCCUCCGAGCUCAGAGCACAGGGGUGAACCCCACCUCAGAAAUUAAAAAAGCUCCCUCGAAUUAAACCCUCACUGGCUCCAGGAGUCAGGAGUCAAGCCCAUUCCUGCAAUACUCAGACCUGUAAACUCUCACUGUUCCCUCCCCUUUAUUAAACAAAGUCAGCAAAGUAAUAUUUAGAAAACUCAUCUAUGAGGAUCAUUGUUUGCAGCAAACUUUGAAGAGGAAAGAGAGAAAUAAUCUUGAUGCAAUCACAUUUUUCGUGAACUUCAGCAGCAGCAGAAGUAAGCUGGAGCUACAGAGAUAACUCAGAAAAGCAAAUUUCUUUGCUAUUUGGAGAAUCACAUGACUUGAAUGUUAAACUGCACCUAAAACUGGAGGUAUGGCUAAUUUUCAAAACACUGACAUGAGUAAUACUUUACAUUUAUGGAAAAUCUUUUUCCCAGCAGCUGUAAAGCUCCUCAGGAACACUGACUAAAUCACAACUAAAUAUACACUUCAUAUAGAAUAAAGGUAACAGGCUGAGUUUAUUAAA